GGCUCCGUAGUUCAACUGGAUAGAAUAUCAGAUUUCGGCUCUGAUGGUUGGGGGUUCGAAUCCUCCCGGGUCACCA
rnacentral:tRNA from 1 species